rnacentral:rRNA from 1 species
UGAUUAAAGAUUUAUCGGUGAUGGAUGGGGAUGCGUCUGAUUAGCUUGUUGGCGGGGUAACGGCCCACCAAGGCGACGAUCAGUAGGGGUUCUGAGAGGAAGGUCCCCCACAUUGGAACUGAGACACGGUCCAAACUCCUACGGGAGGCAGCAGUGAGGAAUAUUGGUCAAUGGACGAGAGUCUGAACCAGCCAAGUAGCGUGCAGGAAGACGGCCCUAUGGGUUGUAAACUGCUUUUAUAAGGGAAUAAAGUGAGAGUCGUGACUCUUUUUGCAUGUACCUUAUGAAUAAGGACCGGCUAAUUCCGUGCCAGCAGCCGCGGUAAUACGGAAGGUCCGGGCGUUAUCCGGAUUUAUUGGGUUUAAAGGGAGCGUAGGCCGGAGAUUAAGCGUGUUGUGAAAUGUAGGCGCUCAACGUCUGCACUGCAGCGCGAACUGGUUUCCUUGAGUACGCACAAAGUGGGCGGAAUUCGUGGUGUAGCGGUGAAAUGCUUAGAUAUCACGAAGAACUCCGAUUGCGAAGGCAGCUCACUGGAGCGCAACUGACGCUGAAGCUCGAAAGUGCGGGUAUCGAACAGGAUUAGAUACCCUGGUAGUCCGCACGGUAAACGAUGGUUGCCCGCUGUUGGUCUGAAUAGGUCAGCGGCCAAGCGAAAGCAUUAAGCAUCCCACCUGGGGAGUACGCCGGCAACGGUGCAACUCAAAUGAAUUGACGGA